AUGUUGUUGCAGCUAAGGUAUCUCAACAUUAGCAUCACAAGGGUGAGCGAGCUCCCGGAGCAAAUUGGAAAUCUAGGGUUCUUUGAGAUGUUGGACAUAAGGCACACAAAUGUGUUUGAUUUACCAGCAAGUAUUGUCAAUCUCGGAAAUUUGGCACAUUUAUUUGUUAGCGGACACGUUAGGUUUCCCGAUGGAAUUGCGAAGAUGCAAACACUGGAGACAUUGAAACGUGUGCCUGCCCUGCAAUCAUAUAACUUUCUGCAAGAGCUUGGGCGGCUACAGAAUCUGAGGAAGCUACACUUUUAUCAUAUGUAUGUCUUCCAAGAGCACAAGGAAGAUAUUGCUUCUUCUCUCCGUAACCUAUGCACACGGAACCUUUGUUCUUAA
rnacentral:rRNA from 1 species